GUAGCAUGCGGAGCUACCAUGCAGUCGAGCGGUACAGAGAGUAGCUUGCUACUCUGCUGACGAGCGGCGGACGGGUGAGUAAUGCUUGGGAAUGUACCUUAUGGUGGGGGACAACAGUUGGAAACGACUGCUAAUACCGCAUAAUGUCUUCGGACCAAAGCGGGGGACCUUCGGGCCUCGCGCCAUAAGAUCAGCCCAAGUGGGAUUACCUAGUUGGUGAGGUAAUGGCUCACCAAGGCGACAAUCCCUAGCUGGUUUGAGAGGAUGAUCAGCCACGCUGGGACUGAGACACGGCCCAGACUCCUACGGGAGGCAGCAGGGGGGAAUAUUGCACAAUGGGCGCAAGCCUGAUGCAGCCAUGCCGCGUGUGUGAAAAAGGCCUUCGGGUUGAAAAGCACUUUCACAAAGGAGGAAAGGUUGGAUGUUAAUAGCAUUCAGCUGUGACGUUACUUACAGAAGAAGCACCGGUUAACUCCGUGCCAGCAGCCGCGGAAAUACGGAGGGUGCGAGCGUUAAUCGGAAUUACUGGGCGUAAAGCGUACGCAGGCGGUUUGUUAAGCAAGAUGUGAAACCCCCGGGCUCAACCUGGAAACUGCAUUUCAAACUGGAAAACUAGAGUGUGAUAGAGGGUGGUAGAAGUUCAGGUGUAGCGGUGAAAUGCGUAGAGAUCUGCAGGGAGUACAGAUGGCGAAGGCACCCACCUGGGUCACUCUGACGCUCAUGUACGAAAGCGUGGGGAGCUAACAGGAUUAGAUACUCUGGUAGUCA
rnacentral:rRNA from 1 species